GGGGCUGACUUGGAUUUCGACAGAUUUCUUGUCGCACAGAUAGCAUGCCAAGUGCUACUUGUAAAACAGCGACAAAAAUAACUGUAAACAACACAGAUUACGCUCCAGCUUACGCUAAAGUUGCGUGAGUUAAUCUCCUUUUGGAGCUGGACUGAUUAGAAUUUCUAGCGUUUUAAUCACUCCAUAACCUUAAGCUAGACGCUUUUAAAAGGUGGUUCGCCUUUUAAACUAAGAAACAAGAACUCUUGAAACUAUCUCAAGGUUUUAGAAAGUUGGACCAGAGCUAGUUUUAAGGCUAAAAAGCUAACCAAUUUUCUAAGCAUUGUAGAAGUUUGUGUUUAGGACAAGAUUUUUGGACUGGGGUUCGAUUCCCCACAGCUCCACCA
rnacentral:tmRNA from 1 species